rnacentral:rRNA from 1 species
CCUACGGGAGGCAGCAGUGAGGAAUAUUGGUCAAUGGACGAGCGUCUGAACCAGCCAAGUAGCGUGAAGGAUGACUGCCCUAUGGGUUGUAAACUUCUUUUAUAAAGGAAUAAAACGAGGCACGUGUGCCUUUUUGCAUGUACUUUAUGAAUAAGGAUCGGCUGACUCCGUGCCAGCAGCCGCGGUAAUACGGAGGAUCCGAGCGUUAUCCGGAUUUAUUGGGGUUAAAGGGAGCGUAGAUGGGUUGUUAAGUCAGUUGUGAAAGUUUGCGGCUCAAACGUAAAAUUGCAAUUGAUACUGGAAGUCUUGAGUACAGUUGAGGUAGGCGGAAUUCGUGGUGUAGCGGUGAAAUGCUUAGAUAUCACGAAGAACCCCGAUUGCGAAGGCAGCUUACUAAACUGUGACUGACAUUGAUGCUCGAAAGUGUGGGUAUCAAACAGUAUUAGAUACCCGGGUAGUC